GAUGAACGCUGGCGGCGUGCCUAAUACACGCAAGUCGAGCGAACGGACGAGAAGCUUGCUUCUCUGAUGUUAGCGGCGGACGGGUGAGUAACACGUGGAUAACCUACCUAUAAGACUGGGAUAACUUCGGGAAACCGGAGCUAAUACCGGAUAAUAUUUUGAACCGCAUGGUUCAAAAGUAAAAGACGGUCUUGCUGUCACUUAUAGAUGGAUCCGCGCUGCAUUAGCUAGUUGGUAAGGUAACGGCUUACCAAGGCAACGAUGCAUAGCCGACCUGAGAGGGUGAUCGGCCACACUGGAACUGAGACACGGUCCAGACUCCUACGGGAGGCAGCAGUAGGGAAUCUUCCGCAAUGGGCGAAAGCCUGACGGAGCAACGCCGCGUGAGUGAUGAAGGUCUUCGGAUCGUAAAACUCUGUUAUUAGGGAAGAACAUAUGUGUAAGUAACUGUGCACAUCUUGACGGUACCUAAUCAGAAAGCCACGGCUAACUACGUG
rnacentral:rRNA from 1 species